CGGGAGGCAGCAGCGGGGAAUCUUAGACAAUGGGGGCAACCCUGAUCUAGCCAUGCCGCGUGAGUGAUGAAGGCCUUAGGGUCGUAAAGCUCUUUCGCCUGUGAUGAUAAUGACAGUAGCAGGUAAAGAAACCCCGGCUAACUCCGUGCCAGCAGCCGCGGUAAUACGGAGGGGGUUAGCGUUGUUCGGAAUUACUGGGCGUAAAGCGCGCGUAGGCGGAUUAGAAAGUUGGGGGUGAAAUCCCGGGGCUCAACCCCGGAACUGCCUCCAAAACUGCUAGUCUAGAGUUCGAGAGAGGUGAGUGGAAUUCCGAGUGUAGAGGUGAAAUUCGUAGAUAUUCGGAGGAACACCAGUGGCGAAGGCGGCUCACUGGCUCGAUACUGACGCUGAGGUGCGAAAGUGUGGGGAGCAAACAGGAUUAGAUACCCUGGUAGUCCACACCGUAAACGAUGAAUGCCAGUCGUCGGAUAGUAUACUAUUCGGUGACACACCUAACGGAUUAAGCAUUCCGCCUGGGGAGUACGGUCGCAAGAUUAAAACUCAAAGGAAUUGACGG
rnacentral:rRNA from 1 species